rnacentral:rRNA from 1 species
GUGAGGAAUAUUGGUCAAUGGGCGCAAGCCUGAACCAGCCAUGCCGCGUGCAGGAUGACUGCCCUAUGGGUUGUAAACUGCUUUUAUACGGGAAGAAACCCCUCCACGUGUGGAGGAUUGACGGUACCGUAAGAAUAAGGAUCGGCUAACUCCGUGCCAGCAGCCGCGGUAAUACGGAGGAUCCAAGCGUUAUCCGGAAUCAUUGGGUUUAAAGGGUCCGUAGGCGGGUCUGUAAGUCAGUGGUGAAAUCUCCCGGCUCAACCGGGAAACUGCCAUUGAUACUGAAGGUCUUGAAUGUUUGUGAAGUAACUAGAAUAUGUAGUGUAGCGGUGAAAUGCUUAGAUAUUACAUGGAAUACCGAUUGCGAAGGCAGGUUACUAACAAAUGAUUGACGCUGAUGGACGAAAGCGUGGGGAGCGAACAGGAUUAGAUACCCCAGUAGUCC